rnacentral:rRNA from 1 species
AGCAGCCGCGGUAAUUCCAGCUCCAAUAGCGUAUAUUAAAGUUGUUGCAGUUAAAAAGCUCGUAGUUGAACUUCGGGAUCAAUUGAUUGGUCAUGCCUUGGUAUGUACUGUUCAUAUUGGUUCUCACCUUCUAAUGAACCAUAAUGUCAUUUAUUUGAUGUUAUGGGGAAUUAGGACUGUUACCUUGAAAAAAUUAGAGUGUUUAAAGCAGGCUCACGCUUGAAUACAUUAGCAUGGAAUAAUGAAAUAGGACAUCGCAUUCUAUUUUGUUGGUUUCUAGGAUCGAUGUAAUGAUUAAUAGGGAUAGUUGGGGGCAUUAGUAUUCAAUUGUCAGAGGUGAAAUUCUUGGAUUUAUUGAAGACUAACUACUGCGAAAGCAUUUGCCAAGGAUGUUUUCAUUAAUCAAGAACGAAAGUUAGGGGAUCGAAGACGAUCAGAUACCGUCGUAGUCUUAACCAUAAACUAUGCCGACUAGGGAUCGGAUGAUGUUGAUUUUUU